GGUCCGGUGGUGUAGUUGGUAAUCACGUUAGUCUAACAUUACUAAAAAUAACUGUUUCAAGCUCAAAUGAGCUUGUUGAGAGUUGUUGAUGUGAGCACUAAAGGUCCCCGGUUCAAAGCCCGGGCCAGAUCA